CAGCCAGGCAGUGAGCACAAAGCGAUUCUUUCGCCUUUUACUAAAGAAUACUGUGUCGUGCUGCAUUUAGUGGCAUAUGCCUAUUUUUGGAGAGCUCUCUUUUUUGAGUGAC